UUUAUUUUUUUCCUUUUUCCUCUCGUCUUCCUAUUUUUUUUCCUCCCAUCCUCCACUUUUCUUUUGUGAGCAUUUCCCAAGACGGGCGGCCCCCACCCCCAUGAGCUGUUUUCCCCACAUUUUCUCCAUUCUGAGUUUUACCCCCAAGAGCCUUCUCUCUCCCCCAACGGCGCACCGGCCACACACCCGUCAUCUUCUCCCUUCCCUUUCUUUUCCUCUCCAUUUUCUUCUUCAUGGGGCUUCUUCCAGGACGGCGGCAGUGGCGACUCCCCAUCCCCAACUCUUCAUUUUUUUUUAUUAUUUAUUUUAUUUAUUUUUCAUUUUUUCUCCCUCUUCCCUCAACUUCCACACAGACCGUCGGGGAACCCCUCCCAGAUUUUUCCUUUCCCAUUUUUUUUUCUGGGUUUUUGCUCCCUCCGAACACCCACUGCCACACCCCCCCUCAUUUUUCCUUCCUUCCAUUUUUUUUUCUUUUUCAUUUCUUUUUAUUUCCCGUUAAACCCAUCUCCAUAUCCACAGCCGUUCAGUCAUCACCGGCGAGCUGCCAUCGCCGACGUCAUUUUCGGCAAUCGAGGAUUUCCUCCCCUUCCACCCUUUUUUUUCGACAGUCGGUUAUUAACUUAUUAUUAUUAUUAUUACUACUAUUUUUUUUUCUUUAUUUUUUAUUUAAUUUUAAUAAUAAUUGUUGAUGAAAUUGGAUUUGUUUAUUUAUGUUUAUCUGUGAGUCUUAUAUUUGAGCCUUAUUAAUUAGUAUGAGAUUGAUGUUAAUUUGUUGUUGGUAAAUUAAUAUGAAAUUUUGGUUAAUUUAUUAUUAGAAAAUUAAUAUGAAAUUUGAAAUUUGAUGAAUUUAUUAUUGAUGAAUUUAUUUGAAAUUUGUUAAUUUGGGUUAAAUUAGUUGAUAAUUUAUAUGGUUAUACCCAUUUAAAUUAUUUAAUUUGGAUAUGAUGUAAUAUGGUAGUAUAUUUUGGACGUAGGUUUGAAUAUUAAAUUGGAUUGAUUUUGAUUGUGGAUUUAGGUUUACAUGUUAAAUUGGGCUUGAAUGAUGAUAUAUUAAAUUUAGGUCUAAUGAGAUUUAUUUUAAUUUAUCAUGUUUUAGGUUUGAUUAAUUGAGUUUAUAUUUCGACUAUUAAUUAGAAAACUUUAGGUUAGGAUCUAAGAUAUGUGAGAUAUUUUUAUUGGGUUAUAUUUGUUAAUUUGGACCCAUUUUUAAUUACUAAAAUUUGUUGGAUUAAUUUGAAAUUUGAAUAUUUGUUUAGGAUUUUGUAGGAUAUUUACAUUUGCGUUUUUUUUGUUUUUGCAUAGAUCCGUUCUGCAAUCUUGUUAGCUGAGUAUGAAUUGAAGGCACGUGGAGCUUAUUGGUUUUGUUUUUUCUGACGGAAGCAGAGAGCAACAUGAAUGAUUUAGUGUCAGAAUACCAGCAAUACCAGGUUGCAACUGCCGAGGAUGAGGGUAUGAGGAGGGCGCUGAAGAGAAUUGUGAGGCCUAAAAGCCUUAAGCCUAAAUAAGGUUUUGUGAGAUGAGCACCUAAGCUUGCCCAUUUGUCUGCUACUGCUACUGCUACUACUAUAUGUGGCCAUUUUGCUUUCAGCUUGUUUGUAUCAUCAUCUGGUUUGAAUCUUUUGUGGGUUGUGUUCUAUUCAGGCAUCUGAAUAAGGAUUUCUCAUUUUUACAACAAUUGGGGUGUACAAGGGAUGAGGUGGACCAUUCUCUGUUAUAUUUGGGAUCUCACUUUGCUGGUAUGUCAUUGGGUUUUUAGUCGCAACCAGAUGGAAAUUGAAGGAAAAGUAGCUGUUUAAUCUCACCACAUUUUCUAUGCAAUCAUCAGUUUUCCACAUCCAUGUUUAAAUGAUACGAUAUGGAUGUCUAUUUAAGUAAAAAGCAGUCAAUUCCUCAAACAACUUGGAUUGUGCCCUUCUUAUUUAUAGCUUUCGCGAGCUUGUUUGGUGAGGGACUCACUUGGCUAAGUCCAUGGAAUAUGAGAAAACAGAGGGAUCCCUUUUUCAUAUUCCAUCCUCAAAAGUCAACACUCAUUGCCACUCUUCAUUCACCGCUAUGCUCAACUACUGGAUCGAAAGUGGCCAACCCUAUGGCUCCAUGUGUUCACAGAUGAAAUAGCAGAGCAACACCAAAAUUAAUAAUUGAAUGGUAAAAGAAGUUUACAAUUGUUGCAUUGCGACAGUCACUGUACAUUCAAGAAUUGAUUUGUAUCCUGCUUAUUACUAAAUUUGUUGAAGAGAUGAAAUAUAACAACAAAGGUAUAUCUAUUGUAUCAGAGAUUGAAUCCAUCAUAAAAAUUCCGGGAAAAUAAAACUUCCAUUGAAGAGAUGAACCAAUUUUGAACCGCUAACCAAAAGAGAGGAUAGAGGGACUUGAACCGCCUUUGGGUUUCUUCACUUUGUAAAUUUGAAGCCUCUUCUUCCUGGCCUGAGCAGCUGCAGCCCUAUUCAGUUGUGUGGUAUCAGCGUUCAGAGCAAUACUGAGGUUGAGAUCCAACGACGCAACUAGUUCCGGUCCAAGAGUCUCCUCCGGGGAGACGUU